GACGGAAUAGCUCAGUGGUAGGGAGUGUGCUUAGUGCAGGCUUAGCAUGCACAAGGUCCUGGGUUCAAUCCCCAGUACCUCCA
rnacentral:tRNA from 1 species